UUCUAUGUGCUGCAUGUUAGAAUCAUUUCUAAGGAAUCGCUCCAGCAUGGACCACGAGGCCACAGCCAUGAUGAAAGCCCAGUUCAUGAGCCUAUGGGAUGGCCUGGACACCUCAUCAACCACCCAGGUUAUGGUGAUGGGAGCCACGAACAGGCCGCAGGACCUGGAUCCAGCCAUUCUCCGCAGGAUGCCCACAACUUUUCAUAUCGGCUUGCCA